rnacentral:rRNA from 1 species
GACGGAGGGUGCUAGCGUUGUUCGGAAUGACUGGGCGUAAAGGGCGCGUAGGCGGCUCGUGAAGUCGGGUGUGAAAGCCCGGGGCUCAACCCCGGAACGGCAUCCGAUACUGGCGGGCUUGAGACCGGGAGAGGAGGGUGGAAUACCCAGUGUAGAGGUGAAAUUCGUAGAUAUUGGGUGGAACACCAGUGGCGAAAGCGGCUUCCUGGUCCAGCACCGACGUUCAGGCACGAAAGCGUGGGGAGCAAACAGG